UGGCUGUAGCUAAACCGACGCGAGAAGUUUACUGGCCGUUUGUCGCGAAAUCUUCUGAUCUCCGUCGGCAAAUCCGCUUACCGAACUUCGCACACUC